UCCUGUCCUCUGGGGUAGAAGCCUGAGACAGAGCUGUUUGUGUUUCAGGAGCACAAGGUUACCCGGGGCAGAAACAGCGCAAACUGUGGUCAGGCAGAGCCUUGUGCUUGCUGCUGGCUGCCGGGCACUGUCCCCACAGAGCUGCACACAGGACACUGUGUCACUUCCGUCCUGUCACGGCUUUAUUCUGCCAUGUCACCUCAGGGCAACUCCUGGCCAGGGCCCAUGUAGUACCCACAGGGGCUACGCGACCUGCAAAGAUGGCAGUGAGCACAGCCGGGAAGCCUCUCAGGACCAGGAAGUGGGCCUGACUUUUUCUGAGCCUUCUCCACCAGGGACAGGCUGGCCUCACAGGAGGCCUGGAGCCAGGCUGAGCCUCGGUUUCUCUCUCCACCAUGGGACCUGAGGGUGGGUGGGCUCUUCAUGCCCCAGGCCAUGACCUCUCCUUGUUAAUGAGCCAUGAAUCGGUAGCAUUUCUGUGUGUCCUUUCUGAAAUUACCUUCUAACAUGCAUUGCUUUUCUGCCGGGCCCACUUGUGCCCCUUCUGGUACGAGCCAUGAUGGCGACUUGCAGAGUGGUCUGGGCUUCAGCCUCCAGCCCUCCUGAUGGCCUGGGUGGGCCCCAGUUCCAUGUCUCCCCUCUGUUCCAUCACAGACUGGGGCCCAACGGGAGGAGAGCCGGCAGAGGACUGCAUGGUAAGGAUGGUGCUGGCAGGCAUGCAGCACCCCCUGAGGGAGCCCCCAGAAUGGGAUGUCCUGGACAGCUGCCCCAUCCAUGCAGACUCCCUCCUGGACCCCUCUGGGGCCUGCAUUCCCACCCUGCAGGAGGGGAUGGUGCCAAGGUGAGCUCUGUGGUUGGCACCCAGGGGCCCUUGGCCACUGUGGCCCCAAGUCUUUGGAAGGUAUGAACCCUGCCUCAGCCUGCUCGCAACUCUGAGCAACAGGGCGCUGAGAAAAUCGGGCUCUCCGCAUCACUGCGGGGCAGAGCUGUGGUCUCCAGGGCAGUGCUGACCCGAGCCUGCCGGAUUCCCUUCCAUCCCUGGCCGGCUGUGCUUUGCCCCACUGAGCCCUGCACAGGGGAAGGCUGUCCGUUGCCUGUAAAGGAGACCACAGAGUGACUCGGCAGGCCUCUGGUCUUCCCAGAGCAGGAGUCUGUGGGGAUGUGAAUGGUCCAGGCCCACUGACCUCAGGGAAGAGCAGGUGGGGUCCCCAUUCCAUGGAUGUAUGUGAAGACACACUGUGUGCAGACCUUUCCCAGGGCUCGGCUGUGAUUGCCAGUAGCCAGAGCAGAUGCAACCCCUGCCCUCUGGGGCUUCAGCGCUGUUUGAGGUCCUCAGUCACCCUGGACAGCUGAGCAAGCAUUCCUCGCACUGCAGUAGAUGGCACUUUCCCGGCCUCCCUAGAUGUGGAUCCACAGCAGUGCAAGAGGAGCCCAGGAGCGGCAUAGACUCCGGGCAGCACAGCGCUGCAGAGCUGAAGCCUGAGGAGAGUCCUCCUUUUUUGUCCUCCACUUCUUGGUGCAGCUACACUCCCAGGAGAAUCCACCAGCUGAACUCCUGGCCCAGCUGGAGCAAGCAGAGCCCACUGAGGCACAGCCCAUGGGCGAGGAGGACGGGGUGUAGGCCUGUGGGACCAGCUCCACCCCCAGCUGAAGUCCCAUGUGCGGAGCCCGAGCCAGCUCCACCUGCAGCUUCCUGCCCAGGGCUGGGACCACAGCCAGAGUCCAUGGCAGCCGCUUCACCUGCUGCAGUGCUGGGGCACCCGGUGGUUGCACGGCUGUCGGUGUCACCUCCUGAGCUCCGCCUGGGGCCAGCUCCUGGCCCCCUCCCACUGUUCCCCUCACUUAUGCUGGCUCUUGUUUUGGUAUUUACAAUUGCCCUUAUUUCUUG
ensembl:lncRNA